ACAAUGAUACUUCCGCCUUGCACGCGUCACUGCAUGGGGCGGCCACGAGAGAUCCUCGCGGGGGUGAGACUCCCAUGA
rnacentral:ncRNA from 1 species